GGACUAAUGUAGACACUCCCCAGAAACUUUGUAUAUCAAUUCAGCUAUUAAUGGAAGUUGACAUGCCAUCAUUCAGAACACAUGCUGUAGAGAAGCCCGUCUCCAUAAAACAGUCUUGACUACUCUGAGAUUUUCAUGCUGUGCAGAAGACUAAGCCGACUGUAUGACGAAGAAAUGUUAAGAAAAAGAGCUGAUCAACCAAUUUGGAAUCACCGCCGCCUUCCCAGCUGAGGUCCCAGACACUUGAACUGGUCCAGUUCAUCCAAAUUUCUGACUAUUCUAGACCCAAUUGACAUUUGAUAACAACUACAUGUGAUAUUUGGAGCAAGAACUUCUGUCUGAGACCAAUAUACUCAAAGAUCCAUGAGAGACAAUAAUAUAGUGAUGUUUUAAAAUAUCCAGGCAUGGAAUUUCUUGUUAAUGUAAUAUUAAAUAACAAAAGGAAUGAA